UACGUACCGUCCAACCGUUAUUCGGAAUUACUGGGCUUAAAGGGUACGUAGGCGGCGCUGUCAGUCGGGUGUGAAAUCCCUCGGCCCAACCGAGGAACUGCGCCCGAUACUGCAGUGCUUGAGGGAGACAGAGGUAAGCGGAACUGAUGGUGGAGCGGUGAAAUGCGUUGAUAUCAUCAGGAACACCAGUGGCGUAAGCGGCUUACUGGGUCUCUUCUGACGCUGAGGUACGAAAGCUAGGGGAGCGAAGGGG
rnacentral:rRNA from 1 species